AAAAGAAAUCAACCGAGAUUCCCCCAGUAGCGGCGAGCGAACGGGGAGCAGCCCAGAGCCUGAAUCAGUGUGUGUGUUAGUGGAAGCGUCUGGAAAGGCGCGCGAUACAGGGUGACAGCCCCGUACACAAAAAUGCACAUGCUGUGAGCUCGAUGAGUAGGGCGGGACACGUGGUAUCCUGUCUGAAUAUGGGGGGACCAUCCUCCAAGGCUAAAUACUCCUGACUGACCGAUAGUGAACCAGUACCGUGAGGGAAAGGCGAAAAGAACCCCGGCGAGGGGAGUGAAAAAGAACCUGAAACCGUGUACGUACAAGCAGUGGGAGCACGCUUAGGCGUGUGACUGCGUACCUUUUGUAUAAUGGGUCAGCGACUUAUAUUCUGUAGCAAGGUUAACCGAAUAGGGGAGCCGAAGGGAAACCGAGUCUUAACUGGGCGUUAAGUUGCAGGGUAUAGACCCGAAACCCGGUGAUCUAGCCAUGGGCAGGUUGAAGGUUGGGUAACACUAACUGGAGGACCGAACCGACUAAUGUUGAAAAAUUAGCGGAUGACUUGUGGCUGGGGGUGAAAGGCCAAUCAAACCGGGAGAUAGCUGGUUCUCCCCGAAAGCUAUUUAGGUAGCGCCUCGUGAAUUCAUCUCCGGGGGUAGAGCACUGUUUCGGCAAGGGGGUCAUCCCGACUUACCAACCCGAUGCAAACUGCGAAUACCGGAGAAUGUUAUCACGGGAGACACACGGCGGGUGCUAACGUCCGUCGUGAAGAGGGAAACAACCCAGACCGCCAGCUAAGGUCCCAAAGUCAUGGUUAAGUGGGAAACGAUGUGGGAAGGCCCAGACAGCCAGGAUGUUGGCUUAGAAGCAGCCAUCAUUUAAAGAAAGCGUAAUAGCUCACUGGUCGAGUCGGCCUGCGCGGAAGAUGUAACGGGGCUAAACCAUGCACCGAAGCUGCGGCAGCGACGCUUAUGCGUUGUUGGGUAGGGGAGCGUUCUGUAAGCCUGUGAAGGUGUGCUGUGAGGCAUGCUGGAGGUAUCAGAAGUGCGAAUGCUGACAUAAGUAACGAUAAAGCGGGUGAAAAGCCCGCUCGCCGGAAGACCAAGGGUUCCUGUCCAACGUUAAUCGGGGCAGGGUGAGUCGACCCCUAAGGCGAGGCCGAAAGGCGUAGUCGAUGGGAAACAGGUUAAUAUUCCUGUACUUGGUGUUACUGCGAAGGGGGGACGGAGAAGGCUAUGUUGGCCGGGCGACGGUUGUCCCGGUUUAAGCGUGUAGGCUGGUUUUCCAGGCAAAUCCGGAAAAUCAAGGCUGAGGCGUGAUGACGAGGCACUACGGUGCUGAAGCAACAAAUGCCCUGCUUCCAGGAAAAGCCUCUAAGCAUCAGGUAACAUCAAAUCGUACCCCAAACCGACACAGGUGGUCAGGUAGAGAAUACCAAGGCGCUUGAGAGAACUCGGGUGAAGGAACUAGGCAAAAUGGUGCCGUAACUUCGGGAGAAGGCACGCUGAUAUGUAGGUGAAGUCCCUCGCGGAUGGAGCUGAAAUCAGUCGAAGAUACCAGCUGGCUGCAACUGUUUAUUAAAAACACAGCACUGUGCAAACACGAAAGUGGACGUAUACGGUGUGACGCCUGCCCGGUGCCGGAAGGUUAAUUGAUGGGGUCAGCGCAAGCGAAGCUCUUGAUCGAAGCCCCGGUAAACGGCGGCCGUAACUAUAACGGUCCUAAGGUAGCGAAAUUCCUUGUCGGGUAAGUUCCGACCUGCACGAAUGGCGUAAUGAUGGCCAGGCUGUCUCCACCCGAGACUCAGUGAAAUUGAACUCGCUGUGAAGAUGCAGUGUACCCGCGGCAAGACGGAAAGACCCCGUGAACCUUUACUAUAGCUUGACACUGAACAUUGAGCCUUGAUGUGUAGGAUAGGUGGGAGGCUUGGAAGUGUGGACGCCAGUCUGCAUGGAGCCGACCUUGAAAUACCACCCUUUAAUGUUUGAUGUUCUAACGUUGACCCGUAAUCCGGGUUGCGGACAGUGUCUGGUGGGUAGUUUGACUGGGGCGGUCUCCUCCUAAAGAGUAACGGAGGAGCACGAAGGUUGGCUAAUCCUGGUCGGACAUCAGGAGGUUAGUGCAAUGGCAUAAGCCAGCUUGACUGCGAGCGUGACGGCGCGAGCAGGUGCGAAAGCAGGUCAUAGUGAUCCGGUGGUUCUGAAUGGAAGGGCCAUCGCUCAACGGAUAAAAGGUACUCCGGGGAUAACAGGCUGAUACCGCCCAAGAGUUCAUAUCGACGGCGGUGUUUGGCACCUCGAUGUCGGCUCAUCACAUCCUGGGGCUGAAGUAGGUCCCAAGGGUAUGGCUGUUCGCCAUUUAAAGUGGUACGCGAGCUGGGUUUAGAACGUCGUGAGACAGUUCGGUCCCUAUCUGCCGUGGGCGCUGGAGAACUGAGGGGGGCUGCUCCUAGUACGAGAGGACCGGAGUGGACGCAUCACUGGUGUUCGGGUUGUCAUGCCAAUGGCACUGCCCGGUAGCUAAAUGCGGAAGAGAUAAGUGCUGAAAGCAUCUAAGCACGAAACUUGCCCCGAGAUGAGUUCUCCCUGACUCCUUGAGAGUCCUGAAGGAACGUUGAAGACGACGACGUUGAUAGGCCGGGUGUGUAAGCGCAGCGAUGCG
rnacentral:rRNA from 1 species